rnacentral:rRNA from 1 species
GACGAACGCUGGCGGCGUGCUUAACACAUGCAAGUCGAACGGAAAGGCCCUGCUUUUGUGGGGUGCUCGAGUGGCGAACGGGUGAGUAACACGUGAGUAACCUGCCCUUGACUUUGGGAUAACUUCAGGAAACUGGGGCUAAUACCGGAUAGGAGCUCCUGCUGCAUGGUGUGGGUUGGAAAGUUUCGGCGGUUGGGGAUGGACUCGCGGCUUAUCAGCUUGUUGGUGGGGUAGUGGCUUACCAAGGCUUUGACGGGUAGCCGGCCUGAGAGGGUGACCGGCCACAGUGGGACUGAGAUACGGCCCAGACUCCUACGGGAGGCAGCAGUGGGGAAUAUUGCACAAUGGGCGGAAGCCUGAUGCAGCAACGCCGCGUGCGGGAUGACGGCCUUCGGGUUGUAAACCGCUUUCGCCUGUGACGAAGCGUGAGUGACGGUAAUGGGUAAAGAAGCACCGGCUAACUACGUG